rnacentral:tRNA from 1 species
AGGAUUAUAAUUUAAAUAAAAUAGUUAAUUUGCAAUUAAUAAAUAUUGAAUAAUCAAUUUAUCUUA